rnacentral:rRNA from 1 species
GAUCCUGGCUCAGGAUAAACGCUGGCGGCGCACAUAAGACAUGCAAGUCGAACGGAAGUCGUUAUAAAAAGGAUUGAAGAUUUAUCUGAUUGAGAUUUUAUAACAAUGGCUUUAGUGGCGGACUGGUGAGUAACGCGUGAGCAACCUGCCUACUAGAGGGGAAUAACAGUGAGAAAUCAUUGCUAAUACCGCAUAUGCCAUGAACAUCACAUGAUGAAAAUGGGAAAAGAAG